GGGUCUGUAGCUUAAUUGGUAAAGCGUCUACCUUGCAAGUAGAAAGAUGUCAGUUCGAUUCUGACCAGUAUCCACCA
rnacentral:tRNA from 1 species